UACGUAGGGGGCAAGCGUUGUCCGGAUUUAUUGGGCGUAAAGAGCGUGUAGGCGGCCAGAUAGGUCCGUUGUGAAAACUGGAGGCUUAACCUCCAGCGGUCGAUGGAAACCAUCUGGCUAGAGUCCGGAAGAGGAGAGUGGAAUUCCUGGUGUAGCGGUGAAAUGCGCAGAUAUCAGGAAGAACACCCGUGGCGAAGGCGGCUCUCU
rnacentral:rRNA from 1 species